GAUGAACGCUGGCGGCGUGCCUAAUACAUGCAAGUCGAGCGAACAGACGAGGAGCUUGCUCCUCUGACGUUAGCGGCGGACGGGUGAGUACCACGUGGAUAACCUACCUAUAAGACUGGGAUAAGUUCGGGAACCCGGAGCUCAUACCGGAUAAUAUGUUGAACGGCAUGGUUCAAUAGUGCAAGAGGGAUUUGCUGUCACUUAUAGAUGUAUCCGCGCCGCAUUGGCUAGUUGGUAAGGUAACGGCUUACCAAGGCAACGAUGCGUAGCCGACCUGAGAGGGUGAUCGGCCACACUGGAACUGAGACACGGUCCAGACUCCUACGGGAGGCAGCAGUAGGGAAUCUUCCGCAAUGGGCGAAAGCCUGACGGAGCAACGCCGCGUGAGUGAUGAAGGUCUUCGGAUCGUAAAACUCUGUUAUUAGGGAAGAAGAAAUGUAUAAGUAACUAUGCACGUCUUGGCGUUACCUAAACAGAAAGCCACGGCUAACUACGUG
rnacentral:rRNA from 1 species